rnacentral:rRNA from 1 species
GAUGAACGCUGGCGGCGUGCCUAAUACAUGCAAGUCGAGCGAACAGACGAGGAGCUUGCUCCUUUGACGUUAGCGGCGGACGGGUGAGUAACACGUGGAUAACCUACCUAUAAGACUGGGAUAACUUCGGGAAACCGGAGCUAAUACCGGAUAACAUGUUGAACCGCAUGGUUCAACAGUGAAAGACGGUCUUGCUAUCACUUAUAGAUGGAUCCGCGCCGCAUUAGCUAGUUGGUAAGGUAACGGCUUACCAAGGCAACGAUGCGUAGCCGACCUGAGAGGGUGAUCGGCCACACUGGAACUGAGACACGGUCCAGACUCCUACGGGAGGCAGCAGUAGGGAAUCUUCCGCAAUGGGCGAAAGCCUGACGGAGCAACGCCGCGUGAGUGAAGAAGGUCUUCGGAUCGUAAAACUCUGUUAUUAGGGAAGAACAAAUGUGUAAGUAACUAUGCACGUCUUGACGGUACCUAAUCAGAAAGCCACGGCUAACUACGUG